AUAGAACCUCGGUAGGUGAGGCUACCGAAAGGAUAUGGAUUGCUGCCGCGAAGGGUUGGAGACAACCAUAGCAGGUCAACAGGCUUUGUCGAAUUUCAAGGCAUAACCUAACGCAAUUUCACCGCCUUUCGGAGCUAAAGCUUGAACGGGCGUGCGCA
rnacentral:sRNA from 2 species